rnacentral:rRNA from 1 species
UGCCACAGCCAUAUCACUCUGUAGCCCAAGACUGGUUGCUCACUGAAGCUAACCAGGGCUGAGCCUGGUCAGUACCUGGAUGGGAGACCACAAGGGAAGACUAGGUUGCUGUUGUAG